rnacentral:lncRNA from 1 species
CAAAUCCUUGGACUUAAGGCUACUAGGCUCCAAAAUGUAAAGUCCUUCUCUAACUUCUCCAAAUUUGGUGGACUCUUUAUUGAAAGGCCCUGCAACAGACACCCAUUGUUUGUGAAUAAUACAUCAUACUUGAAUUGUACACAAAACCUAUAAAUUGACAAGAGGUUGUACCUGAAAUCUAGAACAUGUAAAACAUUGUUCAAGACAAGCCCUGGCAGAAUAGACACACUCCCUAUAUGGGUAAAAAUUACCUUGAAAGAAUUAGGUAAACUAAUGUUCAAAGGCACAAAAAGUUGAGUUAGAGAAAAAAGGAAUUAGGGUCAAAACACAUAUGUUCUAAAGCACUUAAAUCAAUAAAACAUGAAUUACACAGCCCCACAAAUCUUGUGUCACGAGUGUAGAGCAUCUAAUACAAAUCUGAAUACCUACUACAUCAAUAGUCUAGAAAAUGAGAAAAAUAUAACAAGAUAUAAGGG